rnacentral:rRNA from 1 species
GAGACUGCCGGUGUUAAGCCGGAGGAAGUGGGGAUGACGUCAAGUCCUCAUGGCCUUUAUGCCCAGGGCUACACACGUGCUACAAUGGGCGGUACAAAGAGAAGCAACCUCGCGAGGGUGAGCAAAUCUCAAAAAGCCGUUCUCAGUUCGGAUUGAAGUCUGCAACUCGACUUCAUGAAGUCGGAAUCGCUAGUAGUCGCGGAUCAGCAUGCCGCGGUGAAUACGUUCCCGGGCCUU